GAUGAAGAACGUAGCGAAAUGCGAUAAGUAGUGUGAAUUGCAGAAUUCAGUGAAUCAUCGAAUCUUUGAACGCGCAUUGCGCCCCUUGGUAUUCCAUGGGGCAUGCCUGUUCGAGCGUCAUCUACACCCUCAAGCUCUGCUUGGUGUUGGGCGUCUGUCCCGCCUCUGCGCGCGGACUCGCCUCAAAAUCAUUGGCAGCGGUCCUUGCCUCCUCUCGCGCAGCACAUUGCGUUUCUUGAGGGGCGCGGGUCGCGUCCACGAAGCAACAUUACCGUCUUUGACCUCGGAUCAGGUAGGGAUACCCGCUGAACUUAAGCAUAUCAAUAAGCGGAGGA
rnacentral:misc_RNA from 1 species